rnacentral:rRNA from 1 species
CCGAGCAAGGCCGCGUGAACGAUGAAGUAUUUCGGUAUGUAAAGUUCUUUUAUUGAAGAAGAAAAAAUAGUGGAAAAACUAUCUUGACGAUAUUCAAUGAAUAAGCCCCGGCAAACUAUGUGCCAGCAGCCGCGGUAAUACAUAGGGGGCGAGCGUUAUCCGGAAUUAUUGGGCGUAAAGGGUGCGUAGGCGGUUUGGUAAGUCUAUAGUUUAAUUUCAGUGCUUAACACUGUUCUGCUAUAGAAACUAUCAGACUAGAGUGAGAUAGAGGCAAGUGGAAUUCCAUGUGUAGCGGUAAAAUGCGUAAAUAUAUGGAGGAACACCAGAGGCGUAGGCGGCUUGCUGGGUCUUUACUGACGCUGAGGCACGAAAGCGUGGGGAGCAAACAGGAUUAGAUACCCUGGUAGUCCACGCCGUAAACGAUGAGUACUAAGUGUCGGGGAAACUCGGUACUGAAGUUAACACAUUAAGUACUCCGCCUGAGUAGUACGUACGCAAGUAUGAAACUUAAAGGAAUUGACGGGACUCCGCACAAGCGGUGGAUCAUGUUGUUUAAUUCGAAGAUACACGAAAAACCUUACCAGGUCUUGACAUACUCUGCAAAGCUAUAGCAAUAUAGUGGAGGUUAUCAGGGAUACAGGUGGUGCAUGGUUGUCGUCAGCUCGUGUCGUGAGAUGUUAGGUUAAGUCCUAAAACGAGCGCAACCCUUGUCACUAGUUGCCAGCAUGUUAUGAUGGGCACUUUAACGAGACUGCCAAU